rnacentral:rRNA from 1 species
UACGUAGGAUGCAAGCGUUGUCCGGAAUUACUGGGCGUAAAGGGCGAGCAGGUGGCACUACAAGUCUGAUGUAAAAUCUCCCGGCUUAACUGGGAGGGGCCAUUGGAAACUGUAGAGCUGGAGUGCAGGAGAGGCUAACGGAAUUCCCGGUGUAGUGGUGAAAUGCGUAGAUAUCGGGAGGAACACCUGUGGCGAAGGCGGCCCCCUGGUUGGAUACUGACGCUGAUACGCGAAAGCGUGGGGAGCAAACAGG